UACGUAGGGUGCGAGCGUUAAUCGGAAUUACUGGGCGUAAAGCGUGCGCAGGCGGUUUUGUAAGCCAGAUGUGAAAUCCCCGGGCUUAACCUGGGAAUGGCAUUUGGGACUGCAAGGCUUGAGUGCGGCAGAGGAGACUGGAAUUCCUGGUGUAGCAGUGAAAUGCGUAGAUAUCAGGAGGAAAACCGAUGGCGAAGGCAGGUCUCUGGGCUGACACUGACGCUCAUGCACGAAAGCGUGGGGAGCAAACAGG
rnacentral:rRNA from 1 species